CUGUGGCUGCCGCUGCCUCUGCCGCCCGAGACCCAGCCGGCCUGAGCUCUCAGCACCCAGGCUGCAGCCGUGGCCACGUGGCGUCCGCUCCCCCCACCGCCCGCCUGAGACGCUCCCCCCGACGAUGCGCGACGUAACCUUCGGGGUGCUGGUGGGCUUGGGGGACGCUUUUAGUUUUUUUUUAGCUGUUUUUUGUUUGUUUGGUUUUUGUUUUUGCUAAACGGGAGCACUUCCUGUCUGGCAAGGAAGUGCGGCUGAGAGCCUGCUGGGAGAUGUAGUGUGGAGGGACUGGUGUAGUUCUGGCUCCUGCCUGACUUCCUGUCUGGCGAAGGAAGCGAGGGCUCGGGCCUGCUGGGAGAUGUAGGUUUUUUUUCUACUUUGGUAGUUUUUCUCGUGCCUGAGUUCCUGUCUGCACAGGAAAGGAGGCCCGAGGCAUGCUGGGAGGUGUAGUCUUUUGUAGUUCUAUAGUUUUACUCGUGCCUGACAUCCUGUCUGCACAGGAAAAGACGCCCAAGGCAUGCUGGGAGGUGUAGUCCUUUUGUAGUUUUUGAGUUUUUCUCCUGCCUGACUUCCUGUCUGCACAGGAAGGGCGCCCCGGAGACCCUUGAGGCAGGCUGGGAGGUGUAGUCUGGGGCCCGUGGUGUCCCAGCCGGCUGCUGUCCAGAGCCCCCUGCUGGAGAUCCGUGCCACCGUCCCCUCCCCCGAGGUACCUCCCAGCCGCGAGCCUCCACCCGCACGGCCACGCCCACUGACAGAGACACAUGGACCCCCGAGGUCAAGAUGUGGUGACAGCAACGACAACCCCCGGGCCACGCCCAGGGGCCCUACCUGCGCCAUGACCUGAGGAUCAAGAGCUGGAGGUCAAGAACACAGCAGCCAAUGACAAACUGAAGAAGAUGGUGAAAGACCAGCAAGAGGCUGAGAAGAAAAAGGUCAUGAGCCAAGAAAUCCAGGAGCAGCUGCACAGACAGCAGGAAGUGAUCUCGGACAAGCAGAUGAGUGUCAAGUAGGACCUCAAUAAAGUGGAGCCUGCUGUCAUCGAGGCCCAGAACGGUAGUCACUGCUGUCAGCUUGGGCUCAGCUUCACUGUGUGUGUGGCAGGAUCAGGUUUGGGCUUCCUGUGAGGCCCUGUGGUGUACAUUUCUCCAAGUGUUGAAGCAAACAUCUGAACCUUUUUUAAGUUCCUCAGCCUGGUCUCCUCUUAGAGCUCACAUGACACUAUCUGAAUUCACUGUAAUAAAGCCCUUCUCUUAAGAGAAAACUAGCAAAAAUUUGUCUUGAGCAGCCUCAUGCCACAAGCCUGUGAUCACAAGGACUAGUGAAGCCAAGNCAAGAAAAUACUGAGACCCACUCUCAAAAAAAGUAAAAGACUGGGGGCUGGGAAGAUGGCUGAGCAGCGAAGAGCUGUGUCUGCUCUUGCAGAAGGCCCGGGUUCAGUUCCCAGCACCCACGUGCAGGUCUUACCUACCUGUAACUCNGGUUGAUGGUUCAGUCUCCUCCCCUGGCCGCCUCAGGCACUGCAAACACAGGACACACAGGAUACUCAUACAUACCUGCAGGCAAAAUACACGCUGUGCUGUUGCUGCACACCUCUAAUCCCAGCUCUUGAAUGACACAGGCAGGCAGUCCUGAGUGUGAGUUCAGCCUAGUCUACAUUUUUAAACAAAAUAAAAACGGGCUGUGCUGUUUAGGGGUUGAUCACUUCCCUGGCUGGCNAGAAAAAAAUGUUAGUGCUGCUCCUUUGUGUUGUGGGCUUUUUGUUGGUGGUAGUAGGGUUUUCCCUGGGUCACUCUGCCUCCCAGGCUGGCCUU